rnacentral:lncRNA from 1 species
CUCCAGCAGUCGGAGGGCGCCUCAGACAGGCAUCGUGGAUGAGUGCUGCUUCCGGAGCUGUGAUCUAAGGAGGCUGGAGAUGUAUUGCGCACCCCUCAAGCCUGCCAAGUCAGCUCGCUCUGUCCGUGCCCAGCGCCACACCGACAUGCCCAAGACCCAGAAGGAAGUACAUUUGAAGAACGCAAGUAGAGGGAGUGCAGGAAACAAGAACUACAGGAUGUAGGAAGACCCUCCUGAGGAGUGAAGAGUGACAUGCCACCGCAGGAUCCUUUGCUCUGCACGAGUUACCUGUUAAACUUUGGAACACCUACCAAAAAAUAAGUUUGAUAACAUUUAAAAGAUGGGCGUUUCCCCCAAUGAAAUACACAAGUAAACAUUCCAACAUUGUCUUUAGGAGUGAUUUGCACCUUGCAAAAAUGGUCCUGGAGUUGGUAGAUUGCUGUUGAUCUUUUAUCAAUAAUGUUCUAUAGAAAAGAAAAAAAAAAUAUAUAUAUAUAUAUAUCUUAGUCCCUGCCUCUCAAGAGCCACAAAUGCAUGGGUGUUGUAUAGAUCCAGUUGCACUAAAUUCCUCUCUGAAUCUUGGCUGCUGGAGCCAUUCAUUCAGCAACCUUGUCUAAGUGGUUUAUGAAUUGUUUCCUUAUUUGCACUUCUUUCUACACAACUCGGGCUGUUUGUUUUACAGUGUCUGAUAAUCUUGUUAGUCUAUACCCACCACCUCCCUUCAUAACCUUUAUAUUUGCCGAAUUUGGCCUCCUCAAAAGCAGCAGCAAGUCGUCAAGAAGCACACCAAUUCUAACCCACAAGAUUCCAUCUGUGGCAUUUGUACCAAAUAUAAGUUGGAUGCAUUUUAUUUUAGACACAAAGCUUUAUUUUUCCACAUCAUGCUUAC